GACUGCGUCGGCGCGCGCUGGGCGGCCGCGGCCGUGGGCGUGUGUGUCCGGGCGGCCGGCCCCGGGGCUGCGCUCGGUGGCGGGGUCAGGAGAAGGGAAGUGGAAGCCGCCCACGGCCUGUGGGUGAGGGCUCUGCGUCGGGAUCCCGAGCGCGGGGCCGAGGAGAGCGAGCGGGCGGGCCGGAGGAGCGCGCAGGCCCCGCGGCGGCGGCAGGCCCGGGCUUGGGGCGGGCCGGGGCGCGGGGGAGGGGAAGCGAGCGGUUGUUUAUGACCUGCUGCUAAUCCCCGCCCGGCCGUCGGCCCCGGCUGCAGCCGGUCAGGGGGCCCGCGACGGAGGGGAGGCCGGCCCGGGACGGCCUCGCCCAGCCCUGCAAACACGAAGGGGAACUCGCUUGAGGACGAGCGGAACAACCGUCCUCCCCGACCUAGUUCCCAGCGCGCUAGAAUAGGUUAAACACGAGGGGCUGGCCAGAUCCGCGUCCCCAGCCCUCGUCUCAAAGCAACCAGGGUGACCGCGGCGCGCAGGUGACCCAGAGAAUAGGUUCCCGCGAAACCCGCCUCUCAGUCCCUGCCAGUUUUGUCAGAAAACAUUCUCACCCCGUCACGUUACCUGGAGUCUUUAAUCUGCGCCUGCGAGUCCGAAGAAUUGUUCUCAAGUGUAGUUGGGGAACUGCAAGACGCUGCCUGAAACACGAGUUGAAUUUGGAACGUAGAGGCCUUGAAAGACUAAUGCUUGACGUGAUCACCGGUUUGGCUAGUAGAUCUAUGAUUUAUGUGCAUGACUUCAACUGUAUUUGGCAAAAGAAGGGAGAGAGCCAGCAAGAGCAUAAAAUGGCUCUGGAGAGUGUGACCAACCAAGCUCUGACCCUGAGGUGCCACUGCAUGGUUUUCAGACUGCAAUCAAGUUUAAAAAAUCCUCUCUUUCCAUGGCUGGCUGACCGAAAAGCAGGAGGUUUACAAUUGUCACGCCACUGGGAAUAGCCACCACAAAAUUUGCAUGUGCUUCAACUCUCACGGCCUGCUCAGAACUGCCUUCUGCCGACAGCACUGUAAGAAGUCACUGAUUUUGAUAUAUUGUGAGCAUUUUGGUUGGUGUAUGGGCACCCUUCACAGACUGGAACUAUGUGUAGAUGAAGUGGAAGUUUCUGGUUUCCUUGAAGACUCAGUUUUGUCAUGUGAUGUUCUGCCGAAGGUUGGCUUCUGAGAGGACACCUGAUGUUUUGCUGUGAGCUCUCUCAUGCAAGGGGAGUGACUUAGGCCAGCUGAGAUCAUCCAUGGGUGGACUCUGAGGAGGAGAUAUACAGAGGCCCACACACAGUGAGAGCUCAUUUUUUGGAUUGAUGUCACUGCACUGAUCUUCAUGCUUCGACACUUCACAGAGAGAAGUGUUCCAGAGAACUUCCAACUAAGUCUUGCAGCUUUUGCCGACUUGUGUUGAUUUGUGUUGCUUCGUGGUGUUGGCUUUUGGGGUGGACUGCUGGUAUCCUGACAACUGAGUUUGGUAAUCCUCCAAACACCCAUUGACCCUAAUCAGCAGGAAGUAGACAAAAUUGUCUAUAGCCCUUUUCCCUACUAAUCUCCUAUUUAAGGGGCUUUGGAAGGGAGCUAAAGGUGUUUAAGAACCCUAAAUAAAGUAGGGUUGGUGAAAAAUCUAAGCCUAUGUUUGAGACCAGUCUGGCCACAAACUCACUGAGAUUUAUCCACCUUUGACUCCUGAGUGCUAGGAUUAAAGAUGGGCACCGCCAUGUCAAGCUCAUACCAUUAAUCUUUAAAUGUUAAAAUAAUUUUAGAGAUUUUUAUUAGCUUGUAUUAAUUAUAUAUAAUACUGGAUUUCAUUAUGACAUGUGUAAAUAAGGUUUUAUGGUAUUCAUCCCCAUCACUCUCCUCCUACAUACUGAUACCUUUUGUCUAAAAUAAUUUUUAACAAGUGCAUGCUUUUCCAUUCAUGGACAUAGCACAAUUUAAUUUCCUCCAAUUAGAACAAGGCCAUCUGAAUCAACUGAACAAGCCUCAUGUGAACUCACAGAGGCUGAAGCAUCAAG